GGCCCGGCCCGGCCCCCUCAGCGCCCCGGCUCCGGCGAGCCAGCCGCGGUCCGGGCGCGCAGCUUCUCCCGCCGCUCGUGGCCCGGGGAAGGAGCCUGCCCCGGGGGCCGUGUCCGCCCUGAGCCGGGCACAGGCAGCGCGGGUUGCCUGUGCCGCCCCUCGCUCCCCGCGCUCGGGUGAGCGGCUGGCCCCGCGCCAGGCCGGCGCCCCGGCCCUGGGGUUCCCGAUCUCCCGCCGGAAGAAGCUGCAGGACGUUUUCCUCGUCUUGUGCUUUUUUGGAGUUCUUAACGAUGUGCUUGCGGCUUCUCUCUCUCAACUCCCUCUGAGCGAGCGUGACCCGCGCCGCUGAGCAGCACCGUGAGCUGCUGGAGGAAGAUAGUUUGGAAGUACGGUUUCUCUGGAAAUGUGUGGAAAAGCCACUGUUUGCUUUUCUGUAUAAUGGUUACCUAGAGGCUUAGUUAGAAUGGAGAUUAAGCUAGAUGUACUCGUCUCUACGUGUAUCAAGCAAAGAAAACCAUGGCCCCGCAUAUCAUGGGUUGGACAGGAAAAAGAGGCUGUUUUUCUUCUAGAUGGUAAAGAUAUAAAUGAAAUAAACUUGUCAUCAGGGAAGACAAAGAAGAAAAUCCCUUUGCUGCAGUCAUUGUUGAAAAAUGUGGUUGUCUUAACAACAUCAGGAAAUGCUGUUUGGUUAGCAGGAAUACUUACAACAGGAGAGCUCUUUCUUUGGAAUAAAGAUCAGGACUGCUUGAAAAUUGUACCAGCAAUCGAAGAGUCCAAAAAAGUAGUAGCAGGAGCACAAGAGUGUUUAAUGAGGUUGUACUUGUAUGUAUCUGGAGAUGGCAGAAAGGUACUGUUAACUACUCCUACAGCAUGUGCCUUUUUGUGGGAGAGUACAGAACAUGAAAAUACACCCUCUGGUAAAAACUCUCCUUCUGGGCAUUGGACACAAAUUUUAACUGAUGAAUCAGUCAUAUUGCCUUCUACUGAAGAAAAAGAAAUUGGAGUGGAUGCUGCUUUCAUACAAAAUGAGGUACUAGGUGAUUGCUGUUUGUGUUCUUUUGUAUUUUACUCUGGCGAGUGUUUGAUGCUCACAUUUUUGAUUCUUCGAUGGCAUGAAAAUACCUUUAAAAAUGUUAGUUUUUUGCCAUACCAGAUCCAGUGGGUACAGCAGACUUGUUCUCUUGUUAAUUUGGUUCCUCGGUGUGUGUCUGUAAAGUCGAGAGGAGCUCUGCUAUGUGCAUUUGCAAGAGAUGGGCUUCUGCUUGCAGUAGCUGUAAAUCAAACUGAUCCAAAGGCAACUCAGGUUUUGUUUCUGAACACCUUGAAUUUUGUAACUGUUUCGGGUAGCCUGAAAGGUUGUAGUAGCAAGAGUAGCGUGACGCCCUCCAGGUUCAUCAGAUCUUACUGGGUUGGCGAUAUGAGUUGGACUCCUGAUAGCCUUUUCUUGGCUUGCAUGUUAAAACGUGGAUGUUUGGUUUUAUUGACGUGUAUGGGGGAAUUGCUGACCUUAACUGCUUCUGGAUGCUCUGUAGAAUUUGGACCAGCACAGUUUAUUCCAUUUCAUCCACUAAUAACGUACAGACAGCACCACUCUUGUUGUCACGAUUCCAGCCAGUCUCUUGGUUCUUCAGAUUCUGAACGUGACCUCCUGAGACAGAGAUUCUCUGUUGCUUCACAUCCAAGACUACCCUACCUCAUUGUCUCUGAUGGAUACGUGAUAACACUGCUAAGAUUUCCUAACAACUUUUCACCAUCAGGAUUUAUGAGAUCUCUUUUGCUUGAUUCAACCCAACAGCUUGAAAAAGUCCGUCAGAAUUUGCUGAAUUUCAAGUGUAAAGGGAGAUCUCAGUACUUACGAUCACUGUUGUCGUUAAAAGCCAGUCUUUUAAAACAAGUUCAAAAUCAAAGUUCUAUUUUUUCCACCAUUCCAAGAUUCCUGGAAGAGGACACAACAGAAAUGAAUGAGAAAACCAUGGAUUUACUGGUACUUAAUAGCAUUUUUCCACUUACUGUGAAAUUAUGUAUGUUUAAGGACCUUGAAGAAGAAUCAGACAAUGAAAAGCAGUUUUACAGUAGCACUUCCAGCUUCUGUAACCAAAGAAUCUAUUCAUCUGUUGGUAAAGCUGAUGAAGGCUGCUUAGAAUUUGCAUCAAUGUUUGAUACCAUCCAUGCAGAAGAUGAUAUUGAAGAGAAAGAUAAAUCAUCAUUGGAACUAUAUUCCAUUCAGAAAAACCUCCUUGGUGCAUGGCAGAUAGGGACUUCAAAAAAAAUAGAAGAAAAAGAUGCAUUACUGAAUUACACAGUGAACUGCAUUAUCCAUUUUUUCAGCAUCGUUCAGUUUGUGAAAUGUACUUUGCUAAGACAGGAUGCAUCUUUAAACAAGUCUGCAAAGAAUACUCAAUGGAUGCAUUUUGUCCUGAAAUAUUUUCAGCAGUGUUUGACUGUCUUGUACUGGCAUUCAAGGGCCGGUGUGACUGGGCAUGUGGCAAAGCUGACAUUAGAAACUUUAAAACUGAUGUUUAUACAACAACAAGAUCAGUUGUUCUCAAAAAACCUUUUGGCAUGCUUCUGUCUUUUGAAAAUGGUUUCUCACACCCUAAGCAGAGUAUGUGUACUACACUAUGAGAAUUUUUUUGCCUCUCCUGACAGCAAUACUCUUGUGGAACUUGACUCUCUCACUGUGCCUGUUUUCUUAGUUCUUGAUGACAAUACUACUCAGCAGUUUAGCUCACUGAAAUCUCUGCUUCAAGAAUGUCCUCAAGUAAACCAUGAUGCAAAAACAGAAAAAAGGUUGACUGUACUAUGGCAACUUUUGUAUAAGAAAGUGGUUUGGUAUCAGGUGCAGCUAAAAAGAAAAGUGAGCAAGAAUGCAGAAGAGGUUUCUGUUGUCUCAUUGCUUUUAAGUCAUAUACAAGCAACCAUCCAGUCUUCAGGAGUGACAUUAGAACAGCGUCUGAAGAUUAACUCUGUGUCUGGUGAGGAGCAGUUCCUUUUGGGCUCAUACAGAGAAUCUGUGGACAUUUGGAAAAGAUCUCUUUGUGAACUCAAGACAAAGGGAGGAAAAAGAGCAUGUUUUCUUCAGCGUAGAUACUGUCUUGCAAUAUUGUUUUGUCACCUGUAUCAAUAUAACAUGUGUGAAGCUCAGGGACUCUGCGAUCAUCUGGUAAGAGAGAUUCUAAGGCGAUCACAGCUCUCCACAGGUCAGAUGGAAGAAUUUUCUGAUAUUGGGUGUUUUCAGCAUGAACUAUGGAUGGUAACCAGCAUUCAUACUGAUGCUGCCAUGGCUGUGAUUCAAUCCAUGGCACGAUUCAUGGCUGCUUAUUUCACAAAGCAGCUACUCUAUAUCUUUCCUCCCCACAAUGUUGACAUCCUUCAUCCACUUCAUAUCAAACAAGACUUACCUCGUCGCAUCAUUCCACUGCAACACUGUUUGGUUACCAGAGCUGUCAGGGACCAGAAGCUUUCAUCUGUGUGGACAGCUGAAUAUGCUCUUGAUUUGUUCUUUGUUGGUGGACUUAUUCCAGAGGCUGUGUGGUUAGCACACACACUUGGGGACUGGAAGCUGUCUGUGUCAAUUGGUCUGGCCUACCAGCUGUAUUGUCAGAACUCUGAGGAGCUCUCAAGAAUGAAAAAACCAGAGUGUCACCUGCCAUUAAGCUUAUUACCAAUGCAGACUUUUCAGGAAAAGUUACAGUCAUUGUUAGGACAGCCAGUAACUUCUGAAACAUCAGGACAUAUUAAAUACAAGAUGUUCACAGAUCCCAUUGAAGAGGAAGAUGCAGAUGUUCUUUACAGUUCAAUACAGGAACUACUGAAAGCAGCUGUUAUGGCAGAUGUUGAUAUUCUCUCAGAGACAUUUCAGCUUUUGAUGGAUUCUGCCAAGGAUCUUUGCAAAAAGUUUUAUGGUUUGGUUCCGGUUGGGCUGUGUCUUCCAGCACCACCAUUGUACUGUCCUCAGCCAGCUUCUCUCAGUGAUGAAGACAGCGAUGACAUUCUUUUAAAAACAGAGAAAGAAGUCCGUCAGAAAGUGUCAGGAGUUCUUCAGCGAAUUAUCUUGCUCUUCCGGGCUGCUCAUUGUUCUUGCUCUGCAGCACAGUGGUAUAUUACACAACUGAAGUGGGCAAGAAAAGUUAUGCAGAAAAUUAGAAUGAAAGGUUCUCUUCCUUUGUUGAGUCCAUUCCCAGAGACUUUGCUUCGUUACUGCAAUUUCCAUACUGCUCUCUAUGGAUCUACAUCUUCUGGAGCCCAUCAGUUUGAUGACAUUACCUGUAAAAUUUUGGGUUGGUUCAGAGAGUUCUGUGCAUUAUGUUGGAUGUUUCAUGUUCGUGAAAAACUAUCUGACAACUGUAGGCGGUACCAAACUGCGAGGGAAAAUAUUAACAAUAUCAAGGAUCCGAAUAAGAAUGGAUAUGAUGCCUACACAGUUGAGAAUUGUCUGAAUGCAGUGGAGUGGGCUUGUCGAAUGCUUCCUUUCUGCAGAUUCAUGAAUGUUGAAGAAAUAGUUCAGGAUGUAAUUUUAAGUCUGCUUGGAGAAUUGCCACCAGUAAAAAAGGUGGCAGAGAUUUUUGUAAAAGCGUUUCCUAAUCCUGAAGAUGUAAGAGUUCCACUAAGAGAUAAAUAUCAUGGACUUCAGCAGCGACUCAGAUGCAGUACUGUUAAAGAAGGUCCUGAAAGUGAAGAAAUUAUGUCUGUUGUUAUACAAGCUGCUGAAGAAGUGAGGAAGAAGGCCUUGAGACGUGUAGUAAAGAACAUAGGCCCUAUAGAAGUUAAUAUUUGGGAGCCAGUAGAAGAGGCAGCAUCAAAUGAUGAGGAGCACUGUUAUGACAGAUUCUCAUUAGGCACUAGUCUAAGCACAAGCACACUUACCGAUGUUGGGAAUCCUCAGGUAUAUAAUGAUGCAGACACAGCAGAUGCACUUUCUGAUGCUUUGUUUACUGAAGAAACAAGACCUCAAACACCUUCAUUCCCAAGGGAAAAUGAACUCCAACGACAAAGGGAAAUAGGUAACAAAUAUACCACACACAAGAUAAAAGCUCCUAACUGUAAAACAAAACAUAAAGACAAAGUGUGUAGGAGAGACAGGCUUAAUCAACAUAAUUUGCCUGUAGUUGGUGCAUGGGAAUUUGAACGUGAUGAUGAUGAGUAUGUUAGAUUUUUAGAACUCUUUUUGAGUUAUGUUCUUGAGAGAGACCUCAUAAAGUACAGUGACCUUGGAAUUCCAUUUCUCACUAGCUUUUCUGGGCUGCUUCGAGAGCAUGAAUUGAACUCUCUCUUUUUUGAUGUUCACACAGCACUAAAACGUCGACAAAACAAAACUAGAAGUCAAAGUGUGUUUAGAGCAGGGUCUUGCUAUACUGUCACCCUGGCAUCCUGUGAUCCUGAAAAACUAUCUGCCUGUAAUGAAAACAAAAAUAUUUUGGAAAAACCAACAAUUGUACAGUCUGUUGGGCAGACCACAGAACCUUCUGUGUGUAACCUAAAAAAAGGACUUCAAGAAGGCUUAUUUGGUUUAAAAUACAAAUCAGUAUACAGAGCUCAGACUGACAGUCAAGGAGUCAGUGUUGCACAGGCAAGCCACACCUUUUGUAACCGUACUUCUUCUACUCUGCAAACUCAGGCAAUUCCUAAAUAUGUUUACAAAACUCUUGAUGUAGUUGGUAUUGUACCAGCGGAAGAACUGCCUAUAGAUUUGAUGGGCAAAUUAAGCAAUAUUUCAAAAUUGCUGGAGUGGAUGAUCAGAUGGUCCGAUAAAAGACUGCUCUGUCGUUCCAAUAAACAAGAUUCCUUAGAAGAGACUCUCCCAAAGAUACAUCUGAAAACAUCAUCGGCAGCUGUCCUUACAUCUUUUUGGUUGUUAGAACAGUUAUUUGGAAACAGAACUCAAACAAGGAGCAUAAAAUGUAAGCAUCCAGAUGAUCAAUAUCUGAAAGAAAUUGCACCUCUAUCAGAAGCCCAGUCUGGAGCAGAGGAAGAAAGUAGUGUGAAUGAAGGCUGUUCCACAGUGGCCAGUUCUCCUCUUGAUGUCCAGAUUGUACAAGUCUACGAUAAUCUUUGUGAAAGUGAUUUGGGAAUGUCUACAAAGUCAAAAUAUUUUUAUAAGAGGAAAAUUAAUCAUGGAAAUAAUUCUGUGCCUUAUAUAACUGAAGACCUGAAUGAAGUGGGACCAUUUAUUCAGCAGGAGUUGGAUGUAACAUCAGAACAAGAAUUCUUUGAGGAGCCAUAUGAAACUUCAAAGAGCUCCAAUAGCUCUGUCAAGAUCAGACCUCUAAAACAUCAAAGAGAACAGAGUGCAAUCCCAUGGGACUCUACCAAGCAGAUCCCUGAAGAAGCUAAAGUCUGCUCUCCUAAAAUGAAGCAGGUUGCCAUUUCAGCUGUAGAUAGUGUUCAAGAAGAUCCAAACAUGGAAGAAACAAAGGAAGAAAAGGCUGAACAAAAUAUUAUGACCGAGGUUGUUACUAGCACCCUUUCCCACUCAUUUUCUUUAAAACAAGAUGCAGAUGUUCCUAGUAGUGCAGACACUGUAAGUGAUUCCCAGCCUUCUGAGACUGCUGUGUCAACUGUGUCAAGUCUUGCCUCCCAUACUUCUGUUUGUGCAAAGAAGCGAGAAGUCAAGGAAGAAGUCCCUAGAGAAGAGAAACCAAGCACAUCAGAAACUGUCAGGCACAUGCUGCAAGAUGAAAUGUUUAAAUUAGUUCAGCUCCAGCAGAUCAACUUCAUGAGUUUAAUGCAAUUAGUGCAGUCAUCCUUUACCAAUGUGCCAAAUGUGCAACAAGUAUUACAGCAGCAUCAGUUGGUUCACCUGGCAGGGAGCCAGCCUGCACACACUGCGAAAAGCAAUGCUUCUCCAAAAACACAAGUGCCCACUCAAGAAGAAAAGGGAAAAACUGGUCAAGAGAGCUCUGUUUUUCAGCCAAGGAAGAGUGUAGAAGAUGAAAGCAACGAUGGUCGAAUAAAAAAUCAUCUGGAUAAGGGUUCCUCUUUGACAUUAUUUGAAAGCAGCAGCAAGGAAACAGGAUUAAUGUCACCAUCUCAAGAUUUACAUUCUUCGGUGCCUACUAAACCACUUCAUCUCCUAGCUCCUUCCUCAGACAUCCAAAAAAAAGUGAAGCUUAUCCCUGUUGAAAAAAAAAUUAGUUACUCAAAUGGAUUUCCUUUGCUUAAGCUGGAAUCAAGUUAUCGUGUCAAACCAGCAUUUUUACAUCCAACAGAAAUGCCGUCAGCAUUUGCCAGGCCACCCCCAGUACCGCGAGUAGCUUGGAGUUCAUCAGAUUCCUUAUGGGACCAUCAGUCAUCAUACGCACCAAGAAAGUGUAAGGCAGAGGAAGAUUUCCACAGAAGUAGAUACAACCCUGAGAUUUCAAGACAAAAGCAUGAGGAAAAGGAGAGAUGGGCAGAAACAGUGCGUGAGGGUCCUCCCAAACAUCUGAAUUCAGAUCAGCGUGAAGGACAGCAAGAAGAUUCACCUCAGCCACAGUUCCCUGAAAAUGUGAAUGUGUUUAAAAUGCUAACCACUCAGAACCUAGCUGCUAUUCCACUGUUGCACUUGCAACUUGACCCAGUACCUAGAGUUCCACCAGCUGUAAGGCAGCCAGUCACUACUCCUUUAAUACCUGGUAAACCCGCAGCCAAGGCUGCUGACUCUAGAGAAACACAGUGGGAUGCAGGAAUAUCACUACUUCAGAUUAAUUUACCUCAGAAAAAGAAGGCAUCAAAUCUCAUCCCACUUCGAGAUAUCAUUGCAUUUGAGCAAUGCCACAAGCAUCAUUCUGUGCACAGUAGUUCCUUUGGACAAGACCAAACCAAACCUAUCCAGCUACUGAGAACUGAUGUUGAACCAUUUGAACAUAGAGAUGUGCAGAACAAAAGAAAAAGUAAAAAGAGGCGUAGUAAGAAGCAACUGAAAGAGAAGGAGGAUAAGAAGAAACCGAGUGUGUCCUUCCGUCCAGAUGACUCCAUCAUCAGUAUUAGUGACACAGCAGUGGCUUCUGAAUCAGAGACUGGGGAUCACAAACCAAAAUCGACAUCUUAUGUUCAAGAUGGUUUUUUCAUGUCCACGGAUGCAGUGGAUAAAGCAAGUAUUACCUCAGCAGAUCUACAUUAUUUGGCUUCUGUAGGAAAAAAACCAACAGAAACUCAAGAUGCAAGUACAAAUACUAACCCUGUACUCAAAUCAUAUCAGGAUCAUGGGAUCAGUGGUCAAAAUGAAGUUUCUAAAGUUCAAGAAAACAAGCUGGUCACGUCUGUUCCUGCAUCAGAAUCAUCCAGUUCCUCUGAGAUACUACUGCCAGACAUGUAUUUAAACCUGAGUUUCCCCACUGAAGUGAAUGAGAAACAUUUACCAUCCCUUCUGUCAGAUGCACCUGAUUUGCAUAAACGGGAAUAUAUCAGUGUGAUUGACAUUGAAGACAGUGACAUCCUUAGCAAUUUGCCCAUGAAACCUGAGUCUGCAGAAGAGAUAGCUGCUGAACAACAGAAUGAGAAGCUUGAAAUUCCAUCUACUGCAGAACUUCAUCACACAGCAGCUUCUGUUACCAAUGCAAUUCCACCUGGAGCACUUCAGAAGCAAGAUGAUCAUGAGAAGAAUAUGUCAAACAAAUUGCAAAAGAAAGAUAAGUCAGAUUCUGCUACAGAUAUUGUAACUUGGAACAUAGCACAUGAAGAUGGAGGAACUCUUCCUUCUUCAGGCCUUCCACCAAAACUAAUUGAAAAAGAAUACUUUUCCACAAAGCAGAAGGAAAUGGAUAUGCAAUUACGGGUACUAGAGAACAUAGUAGAAAAUAUGGAGCAGGAUUUCAGAAAUAGCAAAAUGUUAGUGAAGCUGAUAGAAGAUUUUGAAAUGGCUGCUGAUUCAGACCUUGGUGCUAAACCUGCAGUUUCUGAGGCUGCUGGAGUCAUUGGUGCUGAAUCAGAAGAUCAUUUGAUGGGCAUGAUUUUUGAAGAUGUUAUAGAUGAUCAAAAAGAGAGCUUAACCUUGAAAUAUCCUAUGCCCAGUUCUACCACAGUGGAUGCACACUCUUCUGCCUCUUCAGCCUUGGCUUCUAAGUUUCCCAGUGGCCUGAAGUCACCUUCUGAUGGAGAGAUUAGUUUAGGAGAGGAAGCAGUGCUCUUCCUUCCAAGACAACCAUACUGCUCUUCAGUUGCAUCUUCUGAAUUCCGAGCUUCUUCUGAGUACCUGGAUUCCUCAAGUUCUCACAUAUGCAGAGAUCUAUGUCCUAGCUCUUCAGAAGAUCCCCUGCAAAUUGCUGGUCUGAGUGAUGUUACUGACAUUGGGAAUGAUCGUGUGGUAGAAAGUGAGACCUCUCUGCUGGAGCUGGACUUUGCAAGAACACAGGCUAAGAAAACCUUUAGGGUUCUUGAUUCUGCUUCUGGGCAUUCUCAAAGAACAGAAAAGGAAAGGAAAGAGAUCCAAACAUGGAUGAAAAGAAAGCAAAAGGAAAGAAUGAAAGAAUAUUUGAAGAAACUAGAUGAACAAAGACAGAAAGAGCAUCAUCCAUUCAACCUGAGAAAGAAUGUGCAUCAUAAUCCUACUUCAAAGGACAUUAGAGUCUUCCAGAAGAAGAAAGAAGAAAAAGACAAAGCCCUGUUGUCAGAGCAUCACAGAAUCAGAGUAUCAGAGGCACUUUCUCUGAUGAAUGAAAUGUUAUCUGAAACAAUGGCAUCACCAGCAAGUGAUCACAGGACCUUGUCCAGCACAAGAUCAGCUCAAUCUUACCAAAGGAGGAAGGUGGCAUCUAGUACAGGUCUUUUUGUCUUGUUGCAGAGGGCAUCUGAAGAGUCCUGUUCUGGCAGAAAGGAGCAGAACUGCUGCCAAACCUGGAUUUGGUCAAAAAGUACAACGUUUCACCCCAGCUCUUGGUUUAACACAGUCCAGGGGAAAUGCCUGUAUGCUCCUUCAGAAAAGUACCUCCAGAAGAAGACUGCGAAAUGCUACAAAUGGUUCUGUUAAAACUAGACACUCUGCUGAGUGCAGAGUCAGCAGAAGCUCAACACAAAAGCCUCCUCAAGUUGCCACUGCAGUUCAGACAGAAGGUGUUGAUCCCGACUCUGAUCGAGACGUGGUGAGUCCUUGGACUGUGCCUGAUGAUAUCCAAAGAAUACUUCAAGAUACUCAUGACUCCAUGUUCCAGGCCUCUGCAGUGCACAGGAUGAAUUUCUCUCCUCUUGGCAGUAUCAACAGCGACAGUGUUUCUGAAAGCACAGGGAGCAUCCUCAGCAAGCUGGACUGGAAUGCAGUUGAGGCUAUGAUAGCAGAUGUGGAAGACAAGUGAAUAGUUCUCAGCCACUGUGCUCUUCCAAAUAGUUGCUGGUGUUCAGGUUUUGUUUUUUAAAAUUAGUAAUUGUUCUACUUAAAAUGGAUUGAGGCCUGCAUUGGUUUCCUUCUUAAGAAGCAUGGAAACUCUCACUGUUUCCAGCCUUGCCUAGAUGAAGCUGAAUUCCUUAAAAUAAACUAUUCCUUCCAUAGGUCUUCAGGUCAAGAAGAACUAAAUAUAGUCGGUAAAGGCAGACCCACAGUCUUAAACAUAUCUGGGUCAGCUGUUUUAUAUAGAAACUUAUCUAAACCACAAAAAAUUUUAUUUUAAGAGCAGUGUACAACUGUUUUACUUUUGUAUUUAAUAUUUAACACUGUUAUGAAGUUAUUUUUGUAACAUAAGGGUUGUGAUGAACUGCUUUAAUGAAAGUAAUUUUAUUUGUUUCUGCUAUAAAUGAUUUAUGCAUGUAGCACUAUUAA